rnacentral:lncRNA from 1 species
UCUUUUUUUUUUUGAAAGUAUUCCAAAACUGCUCCAGCAUCUCCCUUUCCCAAUUGACCUUCACUAGAUGCUUCAUAAGUGUCCUCACUAAAUCAUGGUUAUUAUUCGCCUCAAAAGACACAAUCUUACCCUUUUUUUUUUUGAAGGUAUUCCAAAACUGUUCCAGCAUCUCCCUUUUCCAUUUUUGCCAUUCGCUUUUGAUAUAUGUCAUUCCGAUAAUCUUUCUCCAUAAAACCCAAAUUUUCUCGUCCCCCAACUU